GAGGGGCUCGCGGCCGAUUAGCUAGUUGGUGAGGUAACGGCUCACCAAGGCAGAGAUCGGUAGCCGGUCUGAGAGGACGCACGGCCACACUGGGACUGAAACACGGCCCAGACUCCUACGGGAGGCAGCAGUGGGGAAUCUUGCACAAUGGGGGAAACCCUGAUGCAGCGACGCCGCGUGAGCGAAGAAGCCCUUCGGGGUGUAAAGCUCUUUCGGCGGGGAUGAUCAUGACGGUACCCGCAGAAGAAGCCCCGGCUAACUACGUGCCAGCAGCCGCGGUAAUACGUAGGGGGCCAGCGUUGUUCGGAAUUACUGGGCGUAAAGGGCGCGUAGGCGGUACGGCAGGUUCGGUGUGAAAUCUCGCGGCUUAACGGCGAGGGGUCAUCGAAAACGGUCGUGCUGGAGUGCCGGAGAGGGGAGUGGAAUUCCCGGUGUAGCGGUGAAAUGCGUAGAUAUCGGGAGG
rnacentral:rRNA from 1 species